GAUGAAGAACGUAGCGAAAUGCGAUACGUAAUGUGAAUUGCAGAAUUCAGUGAAUCAUCGAAUCUUUGAACGCACAUUGCGCCUGCCAGCACUCUGGCAGGCAUGCCUGUUCGAGCGUCAUUUCAACCAUCAAGCCCUAGGCUUGCGUUGGAGCCCUGCGGCUGCCGCAGGCCCCUAAAAGCAGUGGCGGGCUCGCUAUCACACCGAGUGCAGUAGAUUACUCUUCGCUCAGGGCGUGUGGCGGGUUCCAGCCGUGAAACCCCCUACUUCUCAAGGUUGACCUCGGAUCAGGCAGGAAUACCCGCUGAACUUAAGCAUAUCAAUAAGCGGAGGA
rnacentral:misc_RNA from 1 species